CCGGCGGACGGGUGAGUAACACGUGGGUAACCUGCCUGUAAGACUGGGAUAACUCCGGGAAACCGGGGCUAAUACCGGAUAACAUCAAGAGCUGCAUGGCUUCUGAUUGAAAGGCGGCUUCGGCUGUCACUUACAGAUGGACCCGCGGCGCAUUAGCUAGUUGGUGAGGUAACGGCUCACCAAGGCGACGAUGCGUAGCCGACCUGAGAGGGUGAUCGGCCACACUGGGACUGAGACACGGCCCAGACUCCUACGGGAGGCAGCAGUAGGGAUUCUUCCGCAAUGGACGAAAGUCUGACGGAGCAACGCCGCGUGAGUGAAGAAGGUUUUCGGAUCGUAAAACUCUGUUGUCAGGGAAGAACAAGUACGGGAGUAACUGACCGUACCUUGACGGUACCUGGCCAGAAAGCCACGGCUAA
rnacentral:rRNA from 1 species